UACAGAGGGUGCGAGCGUUAAUCGGAAUUAUUGGGCGUAAAGCGCACGUAGGCGGCUUGGCAAGUCGGAUGUGAAAUCCCUCGGCUCAACCAAGGAAGUGCAUCCGAAACUGCCGAGCUUGAGUACUUAAGAGGAUCGCGGAAUUCCCGGUGUAGAGGUGAAAUUCGUAGAUAUCGGGAGGAACACCAGUGGCGAAGGCGGCGAUCUGGGAAGAUACUGACGCUGAGGUGCGAAAGCCAGGGGAGCAAACGGG
rnacentral:rRNA from 1 species